rnacentral:lncRNA from 1 species
GACUUCUACUUAUGCUAACUUUAUGAGGUCAUUUAUGCUUGGGAGCAUGCUUGAAUGAGGACUUUCAAAGAUUUUGGUUGGAGAAUGAUUCUUUUUUAGUUUGUCACGUUUUUUUUUUUUUUUACUAGUGAAUAAUUUAUUGUAGUAUUAGAGAAAGAUAAUGUCGGUACUUGCAUUUUUGUAACAAACAUAUGUAAUUUAAUGUUUCUCAUGUUUUUUUAUGAAAGAAAUCAUUAUAAUCAUA